ACCUGUUUGUUGCAGAGGGGGCCCACAGCACACUCUCACUUCCCUUCCCAGCAGUGCUUUGCCACGGGUUACCAUGGCAACACUCCGCGCGGCACACAAGCCAUGAAAAUUAGAGACAGGAGCUGCUGGGAAGGGAAGUGAGAGUGUGCUGUGGGCCCCCUCUGCAACAAACAG